rnacentral:rRNA from 1 species
AGGGCACCACCAGGAGUGGAGCCUGCGGCUUAAUUUGACUCAACACGGGGAAACUCACCCGGCCCGGACACCGUAAGGAUUGACAGAUUGAUAGCUUUUUCAUGAUUCGGUGGAUGGUGGUGCAUGGCCGUUCUUAGUUCGUGGAGCGAUUUGUCUGGUUUAUUCCGAUAACGAGCGAGACUCUGGCCUACUAAAUAGUUGGCGCAUUGCUACUGUGCGCACAACACUUCUUAGAGGGAUUUUCGGUGUUCAGCCGCACGAAAUUGAGCAAUAACAGGUCUGUGAUGCCCCUAGAUGUCCGGGGCUGCACGCGCGCUACACUGGCAAAAUCAGCGUGCUUGUCCUUCCCCGAAAGGGGUUGGUAAGCCCGCGAAAAUUUGCCGUGAUUGGGAUCGGACAUUGCAAUUAUUGUCCGUGAACGAGGAAUUCCUUGUAGGGGCGAGUCAUCAACUCGCUCUGAAUACGUCCCUGCCCUUUGUACACACCGCCCGUCGCUGCCCGGGACUGAGCCAUUUCGAG